rnacentral:rRNA from 1 species
GCGGCGUGCCUAAUACAUGCAAGUCGAGCGAACAGAUAAGGAGCUUGCUCCUUUGACGUUAGCGGCGGACGGGUGAGUAACACGUGGGUAACCUACCUAUAAGACUGGGAUAACUUCGGGAAACCGGAGCUAAUACCGGAUAACAUUUGGAACCGCAUGGUUCUAAAGUGAAAGAUGGUUUUGCUAUCACUUAUAGAUGGACCCGCGCCGUAUUAGCUAGUUGGUAAGGUAACGGCUUACCAAGGCGACGAUACGUAGCCGACCUGAGAGGGUGAUCGGCCACACUGGAACUGAGACACGGUCCAGACUCCUACGGGAGGCAGCAGUAGGGAAUCUUCCGCAAUGGGCGAAAGCCUGACGGAGCAACGCCGCGUGAGUGAUGAAGGGUUUCGGCUCGUAAAACUCUGUUAUUAGGGAAGAACAAACGUGUAAGUAACUGUGCACGUCUUGACGGUACCUAAUCAGAAAGCCACGGCUAACUACGUGCCAGCAGCCGCGGUAAUACGUAGGUGGCAAGCGUUAUCCGGAAUUAUUGGGCGUAAAGCGCGCGUAGGCGGUUUCUUAAGUCUGAUGUGAAAGCCCACGGCUCAACCGUGGAGGGUCAUUGGAAACUGGGAAACUUGAGUGCAGAAGAGGAAAGUGGAAUUCCAUGUGUAGCGGUGAAAUGCGCAGAGAUAUGGAGGAACACCAGUGGCGAAGGCGACUUUCUGGUCUGUAACUGACGCUGAUGUGCGAAAGCGUGGGGAUCAAACAGGAUUAGAUACCCUGGUAGUCCACGCCGUAAACGAUGAGUGCUAAGUGUUAGGGGGUUUCCGCCCCUUAGUGCUGCAGCUAACGCAUUAAGCACUCCGCCUGGGGAGUACGACCGCAAGGUUGAAACUCAAAGGAAUUGACGGGGACCCGCACAAGCGGUGGAGCAUGUGGUUUAAUUCGAAGCAACGCGAAGAACCUUACCAAAUCUUGACAUCCUUUGAAAACUCUAGAGAUAGAGCCUUCCCCUUCGGGGGACAAAGUGACAGGUGGUGCAUGGUUGUCGUCAGCUCGUGUCGUGAGAUGUUGGGUUAAGUCCCGCAACGAGCGCAACCCUUAAGCUUAGUUGCCAUCAUUAAGUUGGGCACUCUAGGUUGACUGCCGGUGACAAACCGGAGGAAGGUGGGGAUGACGUCAAAUCAUCAUGCCCCUUAUGAUUUGGGCUACACACGUGCUACAAUGGACAAUACAAAGGGCAGCUAAACCGCGAGGUCAUGCAAAUCCCAUAAAGUUGUUCUCAGUUCGGAUUGUAGUCUGCAACUCGACUACAUGAAGCUGGAAUCGCUAGUAAUCGUAGAUCAGCAUGCUACGGUGAAUACGUUCCCGGGUCUUGUACACACCGCCCGUCACACCACGAGAGUUUGUAACACCCGAAGCCGGUGGAGUAACCAUUUAUGGAGCUAGCCG